UACGUAGGGUGCGAGCGUUAAUCGGAAUUACUGGGCGUAAAGCGUGCGCAGGCGGUUUUGUAAGCCAGAUGUGAAAUCCCCGGGCUUAACCUGGGAAUGGCAUUUGGGGACUGCAAGGCUCGAGUGCGGCAGAGGAGACUGGAAUUCCUGGUGUAGCAGUGAAAUGCGUAGAUAUCAGGAGGAACACCGAUGGCGAAGGCAGGUCUCUGGGCUGACACUGACGCUCAUGCACGAAAGCGUGGG
rnacentral:rRNA from 1 species